GAGUUACUCCCAUCUCAAAUGCCCAAGUAGCUGGGACCACAGAUGCUCAUUCCAGAGGGGUCCUGCCCCAUACCCAAGAGGAAGGAAUGCUACCCAGAGAGGCCAAGAAGAAUCUGCAUAGACAAGCCUUGUGUGUUCCCCACUUAGUCUAUCACAAUUAGAUUCUUCUCUUUGUCCAGUCAUGUUUCUACCUGGUUGCCAUUCCUCAUUGAACCUAAACAUAAAAUCAGUUUCCCCUUGGUGUUUAGGUCUUCAUUUCUGAUGGCUCCUGUGUCCUGUAUAACUUUGAUUAAAUAAAUUUAUUAUGCAUUGA